GCUCAUCCUCCUCUUCUCCAUCCAUCUCACCACCCAAGCGUUGCUCACCUCUUCGUGCUGCCUCCCUGUCUCCUCCACCCGCACCUAGAGUGGAGCUCCUCUCUGCCACGAGCCACCCCAGCUGCCGCCGCCCCUCUCCUCCUCUCUCUCAGCUUUUUCCUUAUCCUCUCGAGGGAAGGGAGUCGCCAAAGAACAACCCGCAGCAGUCCGGCUACCUUGGAGCUCGCCCCGCCGCCGGGCCGACCACCUCUUCGUCGGCCUCGUGCUCCUCCGCGUCGAUCCGAACAACCAGGCAGCACCCCCGCUGCCUUGGAGCUCUAACCGCCUCCGGCUGGCCACCUCUCCGUCGGCCUCGUGCUCCUCCGCCUCGAUCUGUCCGCCCCGUCGCCGGAUCCACGCCGGAGCAGCCGGAUCUGCCGUCCCGUGCAUGUCCUGCCGCCGGGAGGAGGACGCUCGAGAGGAGCGCCCGUUCGUCCGGGACAUGGGCCACGCAGCUUGCUCCACCCCUGCCGCAGGUCACAAUCCGGCAGCGAGCUCGCGGAGGCAUGGAGGUCCGACGGCCAUGGCUUCCUGCGAAGGAGAGAGAGGGAGGUGACAGAAAGAACCGGAGUGAGGGGAGGGAACAAGAAGAGGAGGGCAAGGCGGCGCGUUGGUACGGCGGCGCUGCUCCGAUGGCCGGCCGGCGCGGGGCUUCUUUCAGCCGAAGCAGUGCAAACAUGUCCCAGAAUUAGUACCACCUCGUGUGUAUAUAUCUUAAAUCACCUAAGCAAGACGAAAAAAACUAAAAAUAAUCUAAGCGGGACGAAACCAAACCAAGAAUACCUAUUCCCUUUAAUAGUAGGUAUAGAUAUAGAUUUGCUCGCUACGACGCUAAACACGCUAUAGCGUGCUAUUUUGGCGUUUUAGCGAAAAAACGUUAUACGUUUUAGCGUGGAAUGGACCAAAACAGGGUCAUCUAGGCUGUUGGACAGACAGCAGGCUCAACAGCCCAUUGGGGAAACGGCCCAAAACUUUCUCUUGACCUAACCUAGCCAUCGGGCAUCAGACCACAACACCACGCACUGGCAAUCCCCUCCCAAGUUUCACAUCGAUAGCUUGUAGCGGCGGCGGCUGCUGCGGUGACCCCAACUCGAAGCUGCCGCGUCCAUGUCAGCCACACCGUCGGCGCCGGCGACUCAGCCAGGCCUCGGCGUGUCAAGCACAGCAUCAACAGCCCAUGGACAAGCUGCCAUUGCGAAUGCGAAAUCAAAAGACCCAGGAUGGAAAUAUUGCAUUUGCCCGGAUGAAAACAAGAAGAAUUCACUUAGGUGCAUCUAUUGUAAUAAUCUGUACACCAAUGGUAUUACUCGGAUCAAGUUCCACCUUGGAAACAUUCCGAAUUCCAAUGUUCUACCUUGCACAAAAGUGCCUGCUGAUGUAAGGGAUGAAAUUGUUGAGUAUUUGACAAGGAAGGGUGAGAAAAACGCAAUGAAGGUUACAGAGCAGAAGAGAAGGAGAUGUGAAGUGGACUUGAGCCACUCAGAGGGGGAAGGUGCUAGUGACUCAGAUGACUCAUAUUAGUGCCCUUGAAAAAUAUUUGCCUAUGUUAUGCUAGCAAACUUGAUUUGUUCUCAACUUCAUAGAAGUGUCCUGUUGUCCGUGUUGUAAAUGUACGCAAUCCUGGUGUUCGUGUUGCUUGAUAUGAAUUGAUGGCUGGUUUGUGCUGUACAGUGUA